rnacentral:rRNA from 1 species
CGUAGGGUGCGAGCGUUAAUCGGAAUUACUGGGCGUAAAGCGUGCGCAGGCGGUUUUGUAAGACAGAUGUGAAUCCCGGGCUCAACCUGGGACCUGCAUUUGUGACUGCAAGGCUAGAGUACGGUAGAGGGGGAUGGAAUUCCGCGUGUAGCAGUGAAAUGCGUAGAUAUGCGGAGGAACACCGAUGGCGAAGGCAAUCCCCUGGACCUGUACUGACGCUCAUGCACGAAAGCGGGGGGAGCAAACAGGAUUAGAUACCCUGGUAGUCCACGCCCUGAACGAUGUCAACUGGUUGUUGGGUCUUUACUGACUCAGUAACGAAGCUAACGCGUGAAGUUGACCGCCUGGGGAGUACGGCCGCAAGGUUG